GCGCCCGUAGCUCAGUGGAUAGAGCGCUGGCCUCCGAAGCCAGAAGUCGCACGUUCGAAUCGUGCCGGGCGCGCCA
rnacentral:tRNA from 1 species